GCCGGGCAUGUUGGCACACGCCUGUAAUCCCAGCUACUCGGGAGGCUGAGGCAGGAGAAUCACUUGAACCCAGGAGGCCGAGAUUUCAGUGAGCGGAGAUCGCGCCACUGCACCCCAGCCUGGGUGACAGAGUGAGACUCUAUCUCAA
rnacentral:SRP_RNA from 1 species